ensembl:lncRNA
GUGUGUUUGGACGCUGGGACCCGCGAUGGGGGGGUGGACAGACGUCGACCCAGGAGGAGUUGCAAUCGAGGUUUCUGCUCUCUGGCUUCCUCUCCGGCCGGCGACCCCCUCCCCCCGGCGCCGAGCUGGGGAGGGGAAAACAGGAUUUGAACCGUAUUAGCAUUCGCAUGCCUGGGAAGGUUGCAGCCCUCGCCUGGAACUGGGUGAUGGAAGCUUUUUCUUUCUUUCUGUUUUUAUUUUUGAAGAGGAACAGCCCUGUAAUUGUCCUGAACACAUGCUUCUCUUCUCCACCACCACCCCACCUCUUUCCUCCAGCCACCAGCGACAGAGUCCCCCCCUUUUUUGCAUUUCUUUCCCUUCCCCUUUCUUUAUUAAAGGUCCGGGAGUGGCGGCGGCCAAUCAGCGCGCGGCUUCCAUCUUGUGAGUUCAACUCCGAGGCUCCCGGGCUUGGCGAGGACGCGUUCACAGCCCCCUCUGCCUCUCUUCUCGGGCGGCCAAGGCGAAGGAGCCGCCUGACUGGGGCUUCGUGGCGGUGUAUUUCAUAUUGGGGCUCUUUUCGGGGUUUGUAAUUUGGCCGUGGGUAGGUAAUUGGCUGGAGCUGAGCGGCAGGGCGCGGCAGCCAAUCAGCGCUCGGCUUCUAUAGGGUUUGAGUUAUUAGACGCUGAUCUCAAAACAUCCUUCAUCAGACACCAAGGAGAGGCCAACAGAUGAGGGGAGCCAUUUUUCUGCAAUGGAAUUAAAUGGCCAAGUGGGUUUUUCCUUUGUUGCGAGUGGGGAAUGUUUUUCCUUUGACUCCACCAUCCAGUUCAGGACGCUUGCAUGUGUUGUUUAACAUUUGUCAACAGGCUAAAGGACUCAAAAUUGGAAGAAUGAAGAAGACCUUUUAAAAAGAUCUGGAUUUUUCCUUAUGACUUGGAAUCCAUCUUUGUCUUGUAUAACUAGGUCAUAGCACACCAUUAAUGUCAGCAGUUAACAGUUUUGAAUUCCAAAAAACCUAAGUAAAUGACAUUUAAUUUUUUUCCUCUUUUUUUUCUUGGGUGGGUGGGGGGAGCUUGGCGCUGUCUUAAUCUGUAUUCUCUUGACUGAACAAUAAAUUUUUAAAUAUAGUUUCCUCUAUUAAACACUUAAACCUGGCCAUCUUAAUAACUCCUCUCUUUUUAACAAGGUAAUGUUUUAAAUGUAUAGUUUUAGGACUAGCGAAAUGGCAGCAACAAAAAAAUGUGUGAGCAGUCGUUACUCUUAAGUUUCUAAAAACCUUUUACAUUGUAAGUACCCAAUCCAUUCUGUCCUUAUGCAGUGCAGUUUUCUUGUUAAUGUUGGCUGAGCUGUCCUUAAUUUUCUGAACCUUCAUCUGCAUGUCUGUCUUUGUCUCUUGUCUAAUAUGAGCCAGUGAAAAUGCUUUUUAGACGAUUUUGCUUAUAUAAAGCUUAAGGUUUUAGCUUCAAGCUUUUGAAAAUGUUUAUAGCAAUAAAUGCUAGUCAGCCUUCCCAGUAACGUUUACACUCUUUGAAAAUCGAUCUAUUUGAAGAAAAACAGCUCUGUUUUUCUCGUCUUGGUGGUGGUGGAGGGGGGAUGGUUAGAAAAAGGAAGACCUUCUCUUUGUGUAGAAAGACGAAAACCGUCACAGGAAACUAGAUUAAAGCUGGAAAACAAGUCCUAGCUGGUUCAAGCCAAACACCAACGAUAACUCGGUCGUAUUUUCUAUGGUGGUUGGGAUGGCUGGUGCGCCUUUUGCCUUUUGUUUGAUUUGACUGUGUGUUUUCGCCUUUUGUCUCUUAAUGACGGUCACACCAUUGCUAUAUCCAGAGCAGUAAACAGUCCUCAGCGAAGCCGCCUUUUUGCCAACCCAACUCUGGAAAGGUUGCAGACGUGGAAGGAGCAGAAAAAUGCCAUAAGAGUGUAACUUACUAAAAGGUAACAACAACAAAAAGCCAACACCAUAACCCCCAUUUUUCCCAACUAAACAAUCCAAAAUAUAUGUAUAUAUAUUUUAUAACAUCUCCAAAACCACCGCCCAGCUUCAUCUUCUAGACUCCAUGGCACCGGGCUGAGCGGGCGAGAAGAGGGUCUCCCCAGCGACCCUCGAGCGGCGUGGAGCUAUUCCUUGGCUGUCCCCAGACCUGAGCCUUGGAGGGGAGGAGAUACUGAAGUACUUUGGAGAGGGGGGUGCCUAAAAGACGAGGGAGCCUCCCCACCUGGCUUGGGGCGCCCUCUCCUUCUGGCUGUGGGGGACCUUGCACCCCGAAGCCGGCUGGUCGGGG